rnacentral:rRNA from 1 species
GACGAACGCUGGCGGCGUGCCUAAUACAUGCAAGUAGAACGCACAGUUUAUACCGUAGCUUGCUACACCAUAGACUGUGAGUUGCGAACGGGUGAGUAACGCGUAGGUAACCUGCCUGGUAGCGGGGGAUAACUAUUGGAAACGAUAGCUAAUACCGCAUAAUAUUAAUUAUUGCAUGAUAAUUAAUUGAAAGGUGCAAUUGCACCACUACCAGAUGGACCUGCGUUGUAUUAGCUAGUAGGUGAGGUAACGGCUCCUAGGCGACGAUACAUAGCCGACCUGAGAGGGUGCUCGGCCACACUGGGACUGAGACACGGCCCAGACUCCUACGGGAGGCAGCAGUAGGGAAUCUUCGGCAAUGGACGAAAGUCUGACCGAGCAACGCCGCGUGAGUGAAGAAGGUUUUCGGAUCGUAAAGCUCUGUUGUAAGAGAAGAACGGGUGUGAGAGUGGAAAGUUCACACUGUGACGGUAUCUUACCAGAAAGGGACGGCUAACUACGUG